rnacentral:rRNA from 1 species
GAUGAACGCUGGCGGCGUGCCUAAUACAUGCAAGUCGAGCGAACAGACGAGGAGCUUGCUCCUCUGACGUUAGCGGCGGACGGGUGAGUAACACGUGGAUAACCUACCUAUAUGACUGGGAUAACUUCGGGAAACCGGAGCUAAUACCGGAUAAUAUAUUGACCCGCAUGGUUCAAUAGUGAAAGACGGUUUUGCUGUCACUUCUAGAUGGAUCCGCGCCGCAUUAGCUAGUUGGUAAGGUAACGGCUUACCAAGGCAACGAUGCGUAGCCGACCUGAGAGAGUGAUCGGCCACACUGGAACUGGAACACGGUCCAGGCGCCUACGAGAGGCAGCAGUAGGGAAUCUUCCGCAAUGGGCGAAAGCCUGACGGAGCGACGCCGCGUGAGUGAUGAAGGUCUUCGGAUCGUGAAACUCUGUUAUUAGGGAAGAACAAAUGUGUAAGUAACUAUGCACGUCUUGACGGUACCUAAUCAGAAAGCCACGGCUAACUACGUG